rnacentral:rRNA from 1 species
AUUGAACGCUGGCGGCAUGCCUUACACAUGCAAGUCGAACGGUAACAGGUCUUCGGAUGCUGACGAGUGGCGAACGGGUGAGUAAUGCAUCGGAACGUGCCCAGUAGUGGGGGAUAGCCCGGCGAAAGCCGGAUUAAUACCGCAUACGACCUGAGGGUGAAAGGGGGGGAUCGCAAGACCUCUCGCUAUUGGGGCGGCCGAUGUCUGAUUAGCUAGUUGGUGGGGUAAAGGCCUACCAAGGCAACGAUCUGUAGUUGGUCUGAGAGGACGACCAGCCACACUGGGACUGAGACACGGCCCAGACUCCUACGGGAGGCAGCAGUGGGGAAUUUUGGACAAUGGGCGCAAGCCUGAUCCAGCAAUGCCGCGUGCAGGAAGAAGGCCUUCGGGUUGUAAACUGCUUUUGUCAGGGAAGAAAUCUUCUGGGUUAAUACCUCGGGAGGAUGACGGUACCUGAAGAAUAAGCACCGGCUAACUACGUGCCAGCCGCCACCGUAACAC